rnacentral:rRNA from 1 species
UGGGGAAUUUUGGACAAUGGGCGAAAGCCUGAUCCAGCAAUGCCGCGUGUGUGAAGAAGGCCUUCGGGUUGUAAAGCACUUUUGUCCGGAAAGAAAUCCUUGGCUCUAAUACAGUCGGGGGAUGACGGUACCGGAAGAAUAAGCACCGGCUAACUACGUGCCAGCAGCCGCGGUAAUACGUAGGGUGCAAGCGUUAAUCGGAAUUACUGGGCGUAAAGCGUGCGCAGGCGGUUUGCUAAGACCGAUGUGAAAUCCCCGGGCUCAACCUGGGAACUGCAUUGGUGACUGGCAGGCUAGAGUAUGGCAGAGGGGGGUAGAAUUCCACGUGUAGCAGUGAAAUGCGUAGAGAUGUGGAGGAAUACCGAUGGCGAAGGCAGCCCCCUGGGCCAAUACUGACGCUCAUGCACGAAAGCGUGGGGAGCAAACAGGAUUAGAUACCCUGGUAGUCCACGCCCUAAAACGAUGUCAACUAGUUGUUGGGGAUCCAUUUCCUUAGUAACGUAGCUAACGCGUGAAGUUGACCGCCUGGAAGUACGAUCGCAAGAUUAAAACUCAAAUGAAUUGACGGGGUCAUAGCUGUUUCCU